rnacentral:rRNA from 1 species
AUUGAACGCUGGCGGCAUGCCUUACACAUGCAAGUCGAACGGUAACGCGGGGCAACCUGGCGACGAGUGGCGAACGGGUGAGUAAUGCAUCAGAACGUGCCCAGUAGUGGGGGAUAGCCCGGCGAAAGCCGGAUUAAUACCGCACACGACCUACGGGUGAAAGCGGGGGACCGUAAGGCCUCGCGCUAUUGGAGCGGCCGAUGUCAGAUUAGGUUGUUGGUGGGGUAAAAGCCUACCAAGCCGACGAUCUGUAGCUGGUCUGAGAGGACGACCAGCCACACUGGGACUGAGACACGGCCCAGACUCCUACGGGAGGCAGCAGUGGGGAAUUUUGGACAAUGGGGGCAACCCUGAUCCAGCCAUGCCGCGUGCGGGAAGAAGGCCUUCGGGUUGUAAACCGCUUUUGUCAGGGAAGAAACGCUCUGGGCUAAUACCCCGGGGUAAUGACGGUACCUGAAGAAUAAGCACCGGCUAACUACGUGCCAGCCGCCGCGGUAACAC